AUUGAACGCUGGCGGCAUGCCUUACACAUGCAAGUCGAACGCGAAAGGGGGCAACCCCGAGUAGAGUGGCGAACGGGUGAGUAAUACAUCGGAACAUUUCCUGUAGCGGGGGAUAACCUCGAGAAAUCGAGGCUAAUACCGCAUACGUCCUACGGGAGAAAGCGGGGGACCGCAAGGCCUCGCACUAUAGGAGUGGCCGAUGUCGGAUUAGCUAGUUGGCGGGGUAAAAGCCCACCAAGGCUACGAUCCGUAGCUGGUCUGAGAGGAUGAUCAGCCACACUGGGACUGAGACACGGCCCAGACUCCUACGGGAGGCAGCAGUGGGGAAUUUUGGACAAUGGGGGCAACCCUGAUCCAGCCAUGCCGCGUGAGUGAAGAAGGCCUUCGGGUUGUAAAGCUCUUUCGGCCGGGACGAAAUCGCACCUUCUAACACAGGGUGUGGAUGACGGUACCGGAAGAAGAAGGACCGGCUAACUACGUGCCAGCCGCCGCAGUAAAAC
rnacentral:rRNA from 1 species